UACGUAGGGGGCAAGCGUUGUCCGGAUUUAUUGGGCGUAAAGGGCGCGUAGGCGGUGCGGUAAGUCACCUGUGAAAUCUCCUGGCUCAACUGGGAGCUUGCAGGCGAAACUGCCGUGCUGGAGUGUGGGAGAGGUGCGUGGAAUUCCUGGUGUAGCGGUGAAAUGCGUAGAUAUCAGGAGGAACACCUGUGGCGAAAGCGGCUCACUGGACCAUUACUGACGCUGAGGCACGAAAGCUAGGGGAGCAAACAGG
rnacentral:rRNA from 1 species